AGACUUGAUCAGCCCCAGGUUGAAUUUCUAUUUGGUCCAACCCUUCCCUGCUCUAAACUCUCUCCCCCUGCAGUCCGUCCACUUUUUAUUUAUUUUGGGAUUUUUUCUCCCCAAACCAAUUCCAGCGCCGGGACGGAGCCGUUUUAGAGCCUCGUUUGUGAUUAAUUAACCCCAGGGAGAGACUUUGAUGGGAACGUGGCUCCGUGUCCCCUCCUGUCCCAUGAACGCACCACAGCUGCUGCUCGGACAAACAACCUGAAGGGAAAACAGCCCGGAAUGGCUCAUUUUGGACCUUUGGGAUCAUCAAGUCCAACCAGCGCCACCAGGUCACCACUGAACCACGUUCACCGUGUGCCACAUCCAGGCAUUUUUUGAGAUAAUUCCAGGACAGUGACUCCACCACAUCCCUGGCACGCCCGCGCCAGGGCGGGACAACCCUUUCCAUAAUGGAGUUUUCCUGAAUAAACCUCCCCUCGUGCAACUUGA